rnacentral:lncRNA from 1 species
CGGAAGUCCUGCCCUUGCCCUCGCUCUCAUUGCCUCCCCGUCCCUGUCUCCCCUGACACUCGUUCCUCCAGAAGCCCGGUAAACCCCGUCCUUACGAGCCCCGCCCCUAGCUCUUCUACUACGGAGGGGAACUGCAGAGCCAGAAGAGCACGGAGCAGCAACUCGCAGCCCAAUUGGUGACGCUGCAGAAUGAACUGGAGCUGGCGGAGACCAAAUGCGCCUUGCAGGAGGAGAAGCUGCAGCAGGACGCGCUGCAGACAGCGGAGGCCUGGGCCAUAUUCCAGGAGCAGACCGUAGUCCUGCAGGUGCGGCCCCACUCAGACGCCAAGGUGCCUCCCGCCUCUCCUCCCCCAGACCUGGGGCGGUGUGACGGGCAGCUUCGCAGAGUGCAGUACAGCACCGAGUCGCUCAUGGAGGAGAUGGCCAGGGCGGACCGAGAGACGCGGCUGUUCGGCGGUCCUCGCGCGCUGGCCAUCAGGCGCUGCUGACGCUGCCGCUCCUCUUCCUGGGGCUGUCGCUGCUCUGGACGGUGCUGUUGGACCCCGGCGCCGUCUCCGCGUGGCUCUGGAGCCUCACCUCGGAGACGACGCUGCGCCGCCUGCGCUACACGCUGUCCCCGCUGCUGGAGCUGCGCGCUAACGGGCUGCUGCCAACCUAAGUGCAGCGCCCCGCGCCUGGCUCCAGGUGGACUCCAGGGCACCGGCUUUAUUUCUGGUGCACUCCUCUCCUGAGAGUGUAGACCAAGGUCGCCUAAUAAACUCCUCAAGGGAUGAAGCUCGUGGGUUCGUCGUCUGUCUCCCAUGUCAUGUAGGAGCUUGACUGGCUUUUCAGCCUCCAAAGAUUCCUUCCUUUCUUACAGCUCAUGGAUUUAGAUCCACUCCCCAGUAUUGUAAACAGCAUUUUUAGUUUUUCAGGAUACAUAAUUUGCCAUAUUGCCAGAAACUUGUACAUAGCAUUUGACACUUUUUUCUUUGCCAAUUUGACAAGCUGCUUUUUUCAAGUAUUGUGAUUUGAAAUUAUUUCUACUAUAUUUGAAUUUAUUUCUACCAUUUGUAACAUGUUGAUCCUGAUUUUUCAAUGCUCCCCUUUCCUUCUGUUUGAUUAUUUGGGAAGUCACACUCUGUAUUCUGGUAUUCUUACUACUUGAGCUCAGCUCAUUGCUGUCAUCUUCCCCUAAACCGCCUUAAAGCAUCUUAGGUCUUUUCCCUCUGAUCACAUGUGCUACUUUUUUUUUUUUUCUUUUCUUUUGAGAUGGAGUCUUGCUCUGCGCCCAGGCUGGAGUGCAGUGGCAUGAUCUCGGCUCACUGCAAGCUCUGCCUCCCGGGUUCCAGCGAUUCUCCUGCCUCAGCCUCCCAAGUAGCUGGGACUUCAGGCGCCUGCCAUCAUGCCCGUUUAAUUUUUUGUAUUUUUAGUAGAGACAGAGUUUCACUGUGUUAGCCAGGAUGGUCUCGAUCUCCUGACCUCGUGAUCCGCCCACCUUGGCCUCCCCAAAGUGCUGGGAUUACAGGCAUGAGCCACCGUGCCUGGCCAACAUUUUCUCCAGAUAUCUUACCGAGUCCUAAUUUCCACUGCGGACAGAGAAUACACUCUGCGUGAUUUUAAUUCUAUCUCAUUUACUGAGACUUGUUUUGUGGCCCAGCACAAAGCUUGUAAUGAACAUUGAGAAGAAAGUGUAUUGUUGCUGUUGACAGAGUGAUUUUUUUUUUGAGACGGAGUCUCGCUCUGUCGCCAGGCUGGAGUAUAGUGGUGUGCAAUCUCGGCUCACUCCAACCUCCACCUCCUGGGUUCAAGUGAUUGUCCUGCCUCAGCCUCCCGAGUAGCUGGGACUACAGAUGCAUGCCACCAUGCCCAGCUAAUUUUUGUAUUUUUAGCAGAGACAGGGUUUCACUGUGUUGGCCAGGAUGGUCUUGAUCUCUUGACAUUGUGAUCCGCCUGGCUUGGCCUCCCAAAGUGCUGGGAUUACAGGUAUGAGCCACCGUGUCAGGCCGACAGAGUGUGUUCUAAAUACCCAGCAGGUCAAGGUGAGUGACAGGCUUGUUCAGGGCUCCUGUGUUUACUUUCUUGUUGGUAGCGCCGUCAAUUGCUUAUUGUGAAAUGCCCCUUCAUAAACACCCAUACACAUUUUGAUUAUGGAUGGCCCGUCUUUUUUCCAUCUGUUAUUUUCAUCUUAGAUCUGUCUUCAUAUGUAAAGUGCUUUGGUUAUAAUCAGCACAUAACUGGGUCUCACUUCUUCAAUUCAUGU